rnacentral:rRNA from 1 species
AUUGAACGCUGGCGGCAUGCCUUACACAUGCAAGUCGAACGGUAACGGGCCUUCGGGUGCCGACGAGUGGCGCACGGGUGAGUAAUACAUCGGAACGUGCCCGAUCGUGGGGGAUAACGAGGCGAAAGCUUUGCUAAUACCGCAUACGAUCUACGGAUGAAAGCAGGGGCCGGAAGGCCUUUCCGGGACGGGGCGGGCCGAUGGCGGAUUGGGUAGUUGGUGGGAUAAAAGCUUACCAAGCCGACGAUCGGUAGCGGGUCUGAGAGGUUGAUCAGCCACACUGGGACUGAGACACGGCCCAGACUCCUACGGGAGGCAGCAGUGGGGAAUUUUGGACAAUGGGCGCAAGCCUGAUCCAGCCAUGCCGCGUGCAGGAUGAAGGCCUUCGGGUUGUAAACUGCUUUUGUACGGAAAGAAAAGCCUUCUUUUAAUACAGGAGGGUCAUGACGGUACCGGAAGAAUAAGCACCGGCUAACUACGUG